UACAGAGGUCCCGAGCGUUGUUCGGAUUCACUGGGCGUAAAGGGUGCGUAGGUGGUGAGGUAAGUCGGAUGUGAAAGCUCCAAGCUCAACUUGGAAAUGGCAUUGGAAACUACCUUGCUAGAGGGUUUGAGGGGGGACUGGAAUACUUGGUGUAGCAGUGAAAUUCGUAGAUAUUCGGAAGAACACCAGUGGCGAAGGCGACUUACUGGACGAUUGUUGACGCUGAGGUGCGAAAGCGUGGGGAGCAAACAGG
rnacentral:rRNA from 1 species